rnacentral:rRNA from 1 species
CCUUUUGGUUCGGAACAACACAGGGAAACUUGUGCUAAUACCGGAUAAGCCCUUACGGGGAAAGAUUUAUCGCCGAAAGAUCGGCCCGCGUCUGAUUAGCUAGUUGGUGAGGUAAUGGCUCACCAAGGCGACGAUCAGUAGCUGGUCUGAGAGGAUGAUCAGCCACAUUGGGACUGAGACACGGCCCAAACUCCUACGGGAGGCAGCAGUGGGGAAUAUUGGACAAUGGGGGCAACCCUGAUCCAGCCAUGCCGCGUGAGUGAUGAAGGCCCUAGGGUUGUAAAGCUCUUUUGUGCGGGAAGAUAAUGACGGUACCGCAAGAAUAAGCCCCGGCUAACUUCGUGCCAGCAGCCGCGGGUAAUACGGAAGGGGGGGCUAGCGUUGCUCGGGAAUCACCUGGGCGUAAAGGGGUGC